CAAGAGGGGGCAGUAUCGUAUAAGUAAACUGGGAGUAUCUCUCCUCUGUCUCCUUCCAGCUUGUGGGUGCUAAUUACCUGAGCCAGUGCUCAAGUCAGUUGAAGAUAAAUGACCUUCCUGGAUGUGGUGAUGUGUCUGACUUGCGAAACGGUCCAGUGGGUCUUGGCUGUGUGUGGUGGGUGCAUGGCACCCUGCUCUUGGUAUAUGCUUCAGUGGAGAUUCUGGUGGCCUCAAUCAGCCAAAAGCAGUGGAGAAACAAUGCCCUUUCUAGCAGAUGCUGCCGAGAAGUGAAACAAUAUUUAUUAAUUCCAUGAAGAGACAACUACACAUUCAACCUCCAUAAUGGCCAUGUUAAUAAGUUUUAGGCAUCUUGGGUUAGAAUCCAAAUUUGGCCACGGCUUCUUAAGAAAGACCUUG